UACGAAGGGUGCAAGCGUUACUCGGAAUUACUGGGCGUAAAGCGUGCGUAGGUGGUUUGUUAAGUCUGAUGUGAAAGCCCAGGGCUCAACCUUGGAAUUGCCUUUGAUACUGGCAGUCUUGAGUACGGAAGAGGUAUGUGGAACUCCGAGUGUAGAGGUGAAAUUCGUAGAUAUUCGGAAGAACACCAGUGGCGAAGGCGACUAACUGGACAUGUAUUGACGCUGAGGUGCGAAAGCGUGGGGAGCAAACAGG
rnacentral:rRNA from 1 species